CUUCUGUGGGUCACCGUGUGGCUGGCGCGUCGCCUCCCUGAGGGGCCUGUCUCCAGCCACCAGCCAACCUAGCAACAUCCUUCCCUUCCCUUCCCUUCCCCUCCCCUCCCCUCCCUUCCCCUCCCUUCCCCCUCCCUUCCCCGCCCCUCCCCUCCCCUCCCCUCCCUUCCCCUCCCUUCCCCCUCCCUUCCCCUCCCCUCCUUCCCCCUCCCUUCCCCCCUCCCCUCCCCUCCCCCUCCCCUCCCCUCCCCUCCUUCCCCCUCCCUUCCCCUCCCUUCCCCUCCCCUUCCCCUCCCCUCCCCUCCCCUCCCCUCCCCCUCCCUUCCCCCUCCUUCCCCCUCCCCUCCCCCUCCCCUCCCCUCCCUUCCCCUCCCCUCCCCUUCCCCUCCCCUCCCCCUCCCUUCCCCUCCCUUCCCCUCCCCUCCCCUCCCUUCCCCUCCCUUCCCCCUCCCUUCCCCUCCCUUCCCUUCCCCCUCCUUCCCCCUCCCUUCCCCUCCCUUCCCCUCCCCCUCCCCUCUCUUCCCCCUCCUUCCCCCUCCUUCCCCCUCCUUCCCCCUCCCCUCCCCUCCCUUCCCCUCCCUUCCCCCUCCUUCCCCCUCCCCUCCCCUCUCUUCCCCCUCCCUUCCCCUCCCUUCCCCCUCCUUCCCCCUCCCUUCCCCUCCCUUCCUCCCCUUCCCCUCCCUUCCCCUCCCCUCCCCUCCCUUCCCCUCCCCUCCCCUCCCCUCCCCUCCCUUCCCCUCCCUUCCCCCUUCCCUUCCCCUCCCCUCCCCUCCCUUCCCCUCCCUUCCCCUCCCCUCCCCUCCCUUCCCCUCCCCUCCCCUCCCUUCCUCCCCUUCCCCUCCCUUCCCCUCCCUUCCCCUCCCUUCCCCUCCCCUCCCCUCUCUUCCCCCUCCCUUCCCCUCCCUUCCCCUCCCUUCCCCUCCCCUCCCCUCCCUUCCCCUCCCCUCCCCUCCCCUCCCUUCCCCCUCCCUUCCCCCUCCUUCCCCCUCCCUUCCCCUCCCUUCCCCUCCCUUCCCCCCCCUUCCCCUCCCCUCCCCUCCCUGCCCCUCCCCUUCCCCUCCCUUCCCCUCCCUUCCCCCUCCUUCCCCCUCCCCUCCCUUCCCCUCCCCUCCCCUCCCCUCCCCUCCCCUCUCCUCUCCUCCCUUCCUUCCCCCUCUCCUCCCUUCCCUUUUCCUCUCCUCUCCUCUCCUUUCCAGUACUUGUCAUCCUCUGGAGUCAUCUUACCUGUUACUGGUCUGUUGUAGGAUUCUCCCUCCAGGAUACGAGCCCCACAAGCACCUGGGGGGGACUGCAACCCCCCACUCUCCCUGGCGCAGGCACCACGUGGUCCAGGAGCUCCCCAAGGUCACAAAGGAACAGGCCCAGCCUGGCUCCAGAACCAGCCCUCCUCUCUGAGCCUGUUUCCUCAUCCUCAAAAUGGGCAGCCUCC
rnacentral:lncRNA from 1 species